rnacentral:lncRNA from 1 species
AAUUAAAUAAAUUUAAAAAACUUGAGCCAAUAAAAUAUAUUAAAAGAUUCAAUUUCAAGUUAUUUAUAAAAUCAUAAAAUUUUAAGUUUACUUUCAUUAAAAAAUGAAACGUGCUUUUUCGCGUACCGUGCUUUGUUCCAUCUCUAAUCAUGCCGUGUUUUUAAGGCCCACGUGCCUAAAAUCUAAGUCCGGCAUGACCCACGUGCAUGUCGUGCCGUGCCACGUUCUUUACCGAAAUGUGCUCGUGUUGUACGAACACGUGCCGUACCCGUGCUGUACGAACACGUGCCGUGCCCGUGCCGUGCCUCGUGCCGUCCGGCCCAUUAGUCACCUCUAGUGGUGAUGAUGCACGACUGCAUGCACUAAAUUGUUGAUCUUUAUUUUAAAUAUAUAAAUAUGUGAAAGAAAAAUUUUAGAUGAUUUGAUGAUUAUUUUAUUUUUCAUGUUAAAAACUACAUAAUUAAUUAUUAUAUGGAACAAGAUUUCCUGAUUAUACUAAUAAAAUGUGAGGGAAAAAAAAGGCUGAUUAUUCACACAAUUCACGGAAUUGUUUACUGAAUUUCAACAAGACACAUUCAAGAGACUAUUCACGUUAAAUAAUUAAUAAAUCAUUUUUAUGAAAUUGAAAACGUUUUUAUCUUUUCAAGACUUUUCUAAGUAAUUAUUUACUAAUUCACUAUUAAAAAAAAUAUGUUACACUAACAAAUUAUUAUUUUUAAUUUAUUAACUUCGCAUAAAUCUUCUCGGCAUUCCUAUGAUCCUAUCUAUCUAACUUUUAAAUUGGUAAGAAAUUAUCUUCAAAUUGACAAUGGCAUCAGGCUAAUUGAAAAGGACAAUAUAACCCAUAAAGUUAAAAACCUCAUUUGAGUCUCUCAUUUUUCAUGGAUUGUCCAAUAUUAGAGGCUGAUAAAUCUACCAAAUAUGAUUAUAUAUUUUAUCAAUUGUAGACAAACAAAUUUGAUCAAAAUUAGAUGAAAUUUGGAUAAACUUGGUAGGUUUACAGUCCUUCAAUCACAAAAAUAAUGUCCAAAACGACAAUCACCCACCACACCUCCCAAUUCGCAACCAUAAUUUAAUCACCCACCACCUCCCAAUAUUUAUUUAAUAAAGCAUUUUAUUGAAGGCUAGAUUCAUGCUAAAAUUAAUAACAAUGCUGGAUAUAUUUAAUUUGAUAGAGACAUAUAUAUUACUUAUUUCUCUUGGAUGGUCCACCAAAGCAACUCUCUGUCUGCAACUAAUAAUAACAUAAAUAUUGCUGUCAAAAUAAUAAUAGUAAUAAUAUAAAUACUAAUAUUUUUUUUUUGAAAAAAUAUAAAUACUAACAUUAAUUUAACUUGUCACAUCCUUUCAACAUUCCAAGACAAAGAUCUCCCUAGGUUACUUAAAAUUAGUUUUAUUUGUGGCACUUAAAAAAAUAGGGUGUUCACAUUAGAGAAGAAUUAUUUUUGGAUUAUCUUUCUUAUGAAU